rnacentral:rRNA from 1 species
UACGUAGGCAGCAAGCGUUGUUCGGAGUUACUGGGCGUAAAGGGUGUGUAGGCGGUUUUUUAAGUUUGGUGUGAAAUCUCCCGGGCUCAACUGGAAGGGUGCGCCGAAUACUGAAAGACUAGAGUGCGGGAGAGGAAAGUGGAAUUCCUGGUGUAGCGGUGAAAUGCGCAGAUAUCGGGAAGAACACCCGUGGCGAAGGCGGCUCUCUGGGACGGUACUGACGCUGAGACGCGAAAGCGGUGG